rnacentral:rRNA from 1 species
UACGUAGGGUCCGAGCGUUGUCCGGAAUUACUGGGCGUAAAGCGCGCGCAGGCGGCCCGCGAGGUGUCACGUGAAAGCCCCGGGCUCAACCCGGGAGGGUCGUGGCAAACCGGCGGGCUUGAGGCCGGUAGAGGUGGGUGGAACUCCGGGUGUAGCGGUGGAAUGCGUAGAGAUCCGGAAGAACACCAGUGGCGAAGGCGGCCCGCUGGGCAGUGGCUGACGCUGAGGCGCGACAGCGUGGGGAGCAAACAGG